UCCUGUACAAAAACCUCAACAAGAAAAAAGCCAAACGUCAAUCAAGGUGCUUCAUUAAGCAGCAUACCGAAUUUUAUCCUUUAUGUUUUCGACGGGAAGUGAAGACUUUGACGAAUCGGAAGACGUCAAAACAGCGACACCCGGUGCUCGUGAGGCCAUGAGGUUACAGCGAGCCUCCAAACCAUUGACGUUAGCUAGCCUCCGUAGCCACCAUGCUAACAGCAUAGCAGGCGCACCACCUGCUGGACCAGCAUUAACAACGUUAACUUGAACUUUACUUAACUUCAGUUAACUCUCUUCAGUCUUCAAGUACCGUAUGGGACGUCUUCAUGUUUUCUGUUAUUUCGAAGACAACCAAAGCACCCUGUCAGCUCUCCUGCAGAUCUUAAAAGAGGAAAGGGAUGGGAGAGAAGAAAAGAAGAGAAAUGACUGCGCAAGGGUUUCAAAACCAGCUAUGAAAGUAAUUCCUUUUUUGCUUUUCAAGAUUCUGGCAUAUUUAUGGGGCAUUACUGUUGGGGCGGGCCAUGUAAUGGUAUUUGCAGAAAGCACACAUUGUUCACAUCAAGCUUACAAAAGCGGAGGGCACAGCCAUGGGAUCAUGACCCCACAGCUGAAGGGCCAGGCUGUGUGAGGCAAAUGGGAUCCAGCAUUUGUGAGAACUCCACACAAUUCUCAUUAGAUCCGCAUUAUAAAAAUAAAAUGUAGGAACAUUACUUGUCCGAAAGCCUUGUGUAGAAUGUCCUAAGGCACCAAGACGAAGCCGUACUGGGGAGGCAUGAUAUGAUGCAUUUGCUUAGCCCAUCAAAACACUCGCUCAGUAAGAGCAGAGGGAGAAACGACCUUAGUAAGUUGUGUAUGAAUGAUCGAAAAUGUAACUUUGAUCCCUGCCGGACUCCCGAAAUAUGUUUUUUACACAAGGCUGUGAAUGUGGAAUACUGCCUGCAUCAUCACAUUAUCCUGAAUCUCAUCAUCCUCAGCACACAGUCAAUAAUGUUGUAGUGUUUUUAUUUCUAGAGGAUUUAAGCACAUUCUUACUGAGCAUCAAAUAUCUGAUCUUCGAGGAAAAACAUCUUGUAUAUGAUAGAUAUAUAUAUACAGAUAUAUAUAUUAAAGUAAAGAAGUGUCACACUGGAAUUCUAAUGUGUUAAAAAGAGUUGAUGUCAUACAGUAUGCGUGUCGGUGAAUGCUAUGAUGGAAGGCAAGGGGCCUGUAUUGUCCCAACUCUAGAAGUGUGACCACUGACUCUUGGGGCUUUUACUAUUCUCAGCUAAAUGUAAAAUAAAUAAAAAGAAAGGAAAAUGGCUGCUCCCUCGGCUGUACCCUUCGUCCCUUGCUCUUUGUUAAAACCAUAUCUCUGCUGCUCCGUUGCCCCCAGCUACA